rnacentral:rRNA from 1 species
AGAUGGCGACCGGCGCACGGGUGAGUAACACGUAUCCAACCUGCCGAUAAUCGGGGAUAGCCUUUCGAAAGAAAGAUUAAUACCCGAUGGCAUAAUUAGACCGCAUGGUCUUAUUAUUAAAGAAUUUCGGUUAUCGAUGGGGAUGCGUUCCAUUAGGCAGUUGGUGAGGUAACGGCUCACCAAACCUUCGAUGGAUAGGGGUUCUGAGAGGAAGGUCCCCCACAUUGGAACUGAGACACGGUCCAA